ACCAGAAAGGCAGGGAGAGAAGUCAGCCCAGAUGAGGGACAACAGGUCAUGGGAUGUCGAGGCCAGGCAGCACCCUACACCAGGCAGACCAGGCUCCCCUCCCCCUUGGGCCAGGCUGUGCCAGCACCAGGACAAUGCACCCUUGUCUCCUGUCCUGACAGCUGGGGGCUCCUGCCUCCGCCUCCUUCAGAGGGGCCAGUGGCUCUCAGCAGGAGAGUGACCCUGGGGACCAGGCCUAGGGCAUCUACUACAUCCAGCCUCCUGUCCUUGCCUGAGCCCAGGACCCUUUCAUUAUUCUGGUCACCCUGGUGUUCGGCCAUCCUCUCUGUGCCUUGCCUCUACACUUCCUGUCCUAGCUCUGCUGUGCCUCCACUAUGUCCUUUCUCCCCUUCCGAUUUGCAUGGCCCCUCCCCACUAGAAAUCUUAUGAGCACCUACUGUGUACGGGGGUCCCAGACUCCAGACUCCUUUCCCUCUUGUCCCUGCUCCCACACACCCC
rnacentral:lncRNA from 1 species